GAAAUGUAGAUGAUUUAAUUCUG
rnacentral:snRNA from 1 species